AUGGCAGAGCCAGAGUGCCCUGGCACGAGGGAGCAGCAGCAGCACAGCACACUGGCACAGCACACUGGCACAGCACAGAACGCUGGCACAGCACAGAAUGCUGGCACAGCACACAGCAGGAUGCCAGAUUCCCCUGGCACGGCAGAAGCAGCAGGAGCAGCACCAGCACAGAGCUCUGGCACGGCACAGAACACCAGCACAGGGCACUGGCACAGCACACAGCAGGAUGCCAGAUUCCCCUGGCACAGCAGAAGUAGUAGAAGCAGCACCAGCACAGAGCUCUGGCACAGCACAGAACACUGGCACAGAGCUCUGGCAUGGCACAGAACACUGGCACAGAGCUCUGGCACAGCACUGAGCUCUGGCACAGCACAGAACACCAGCCCAGAGCUCUGGCACAGCACAGAACACUGGCACAGAGCUCUGGCACAGCACAGAACACCAGCCCAGAGCUCUGGCAUGGCACAGAACACUGGCACGGAGCUCUGGCACAGCACUGAGCUCUGGCACAGCACAGAACACCAGCCCAGAGCUCUGGCAUGGCACAGAACGCUGGCACAGAGCUCUGGCAUGGCACAGAACACCAGCACAGAGCUCUGGCACAGCACAGAACACCAGCACAGAGCUCUGGCAUGGCACAGAACACUGGCACGGAGCUCUGGCACAGAGCUCUGGCACAGCACUGAGCUCUGGCACAGCACAGAACACCAGCACAGAGCUCUGGCACAGCACAGAACACCAGCACAGAACACUGGCACAGGGCGCUGGCACAGAGCUCUGGCACAGCCAGCACACAGCAGCGUGCCAGAGCCAGUUUCCCUUGGCACAGUGGGAGCAGCAGCAGCAGCAGCAGCGCUGGCACGGCGCAGUGGCACAGGGCAGGGUGGCACAGCCGCUGUCCCCCGGCACAGGACGGGCAGGGGGAGCAGCACCAGCACGGGACAGCAGCACGGGACGCUGGCACCACACCCAGCACGGUGCCAGAGCUGGCUUUCCCUGGCACAGAGGGAGCAGCACCAGCACGGAACGCUGGCAUCACACCCAGCACGGUGCCAGAGCUGGCUUUCCCUGGCACAGAGGGAGCAGCACCAGCACAGAAUGCUGGCACAGCACAGAGCACGAUGCCAGACCAGCUUUCCCUGGCACAGAGGGAGCAGCACCAGCACAGAACGCUGGCACGGAGCAGAGCACACGCCAGAGAGAGUUUUCCCCUGGCACAGCAGGAGCAGCACGGGGCAGGAUUCCAGAGCUGGUUUUCCCUGGCACAGCAGGAGCAGCAGGAGCAGCACUGGCACAGCACGGGGCAGGAUUCCAGAGCUGGAUUUCCCUGGCACAGCCGGGGCAGGAUCCGAGGCUGGUUUUCCACUGGCAAGCAGGAGCAGCCCGGCCCCUCUCGGACACAACCAGUUCCUAAUUUGACUUUUACCCCAACCAGCCCCUCUGCAAGGCACACUGAGGGGUUGCGUUGAGGAGACACCAAGAGGCCCCCAUUUAUGGAGGGGGUUGAGGCAGCACUGAGGGGGUGAGGGCAGCACUGAGGGGGUGAGGGCAGCAAUUCCCAUCUCCCCGGACUGACAUUCCACGGCACCGCGGGACAAAGGGCAGGAAGAGGCAUCAGGGCUUCCCCCCCCCCGAGGGUGCCGAGGGAUUUUGGAAGCUCUGGGAGGGGAAUGACGAGGGUUCUGCAGA
rnacentral:lncRNA from 1 species